GGACGAACGCUGGCGGCGUGCUUAACACAUGCAAGUCGAGCGGUAAGGCCCUUUCGGGGGUACGACGAGCGGCGAACGGGUGAGUAACACGUGGGUGACCUGCCUUUAGCUCGUGGGAUAAGCCUGGGAAAACCGGGUCUAAUACCGGAUAUGACUCCGCGGCGCAUGUUGUGGGGUGGAAAGCCUUGUGCGGCUGGAGAUGGGCCCGCGGCCUAUCAGCUU
rnacentral:rRNA from 1 species